rnacentral:rRNA from 1 species
AUGAACGCUAGCGACAGGCCCAACACAUGCAAGUCAGGGGCAGCACAAGGAGCAAUCUGAGGUGGCGACCGGCGCACGGGUGAGUAACACGUAUGCAACCUGCCUGUAAGCGGGGAAUAACCCGUUGAAAGACGGACUAAUACCGCAUAAUACUAAAUUACUGCAUGGUAAUUUAUUUAAACAUUUAUGGCUUACAGAUGGGCAUGCGCAUGAUUAGCUAGUUGGAGAGGUAACGGCUCCCCAAGGCAACGAUCAUUAGGGGUUCUGAGAGGAAGGUCCCCCACACUGGUACUGAGACACGGACCAGACUCCUACGGGAGGCAGCAGUGAGGAAUAUUGGUCAAUGGACGAGAGUCUGAACCAGCCAAGUCGCGUGCAGGAAGAAUGUCCUAUGGAUUGUAAACUGCUUUUGCAGGGGAAUAAAGUGCAUCACGUGUGAUGUUUUGUAUGUACUCUGCGAAUAAGGAUCGGCUAACUCCGUGCCAGCAGCAGC